AACGAACGCUGGCGGCAGGCUUAACACAUGCAAGUCGAACGCCCCGCAAGGGGAGUGGCAGACGGGUGAGUAACGCGUGGGAAUCUACCUAGUUCUACGGAACAGCAGUUGGAAACGACUGCUAAUACCGUAUACGCCCUACGGGGGAAAGAUUUAUCGGAAUUAGAUGAGCCCGCGUAAGAUUAGCUAGUUGGUGAGGU
rnacentral:rRNA from 1 species